GGGCCCAUAGUUCAGCUUGGAUAGAAUGGCUGCCUGCGGAGCAGUUGGUCGAGGGUUCGAGUCCCUCUGGGCCCG
rfam:Candidatus Nitrososphaera gargensis Ga9.2, complete genome.